rnacentral:rRNA from 1 species
UACGUAGGGUGCAAGCGUUGUCCGGAAUUAUUGGGCGUAAAGAGCUCGUAGGCGGUUUGUCGCGUCUGCUGUGAAAUCCUCAGGCUCAACCUGGGGCUUGCAGUGGGUACGGGCAGACUAGAGUGCGGUAGGGGUGACUGGAAUUCCUGGUGUAGCGGUGGAAUGCGCAGAUAUCAGGAGGAACACCGAUGGCGAAGGCAGCUCGCUGGGACGGUACUGACGCUGAGGCGCGAAAGCGUGGGGAGCGAACAGG